CACCCACACACCCAUAAUCACCCAAACACAUAGACACAAUCACAGAGCGACUCAAGCGGCCAGCAAACAAAAUUUUCUGUUUCUGUUCCUGGCCAAAAACAGAAAAGUUGUUUUCCUUCUUUUUUUUUGGUUAACAAUAAGUGGCAGAAAUAACAUUUCCUGCAGAGAAGUCCCAUAAAUGAUCUAUGCAAAAAACGGAGAGGAAACGAAUUCAAUUAAAGUGUGGAAAAUGAUGGGUCGAGCCAGAGACUAAUUGAAAAAUCAAGGCACACACCUGCGCACAUGUCUGUGAGAAGAGUGCUGCUGUGUGUCGUUGUGGGUGGGCUUGUGCCUUUUUUUUUGCAUGUGUAUGUGUGUUGAAGGCUAAAGCUGAAGCAGCAGCAGCAGCAGCAGGAGCAGGAGCGGCCAGGCCGAAAGAAGAGCCAACAACCAAAUGAAAGACGGGUAAACCACAGUGAUAAAGACAAAGUGUUCAAGACAAAAAAAUGUUAUAAAUAAUCAUAGAUAUACAUACAUACUACAACAAACAACAACAAGAAAAAAACCAAAACAAAAACCAAAAAAUCAGUAAAUAAAUCAAACAAAUGGGAAUACUGAAAAUCGCUGAAUGGAAAAAUCAGAGCAAUUUUUGGGCCUUAACCACAGAAAAGAUGUCCAGUCAAAGAUGCGCACAAUUAGCUUAAACUGACACAAGGAUGACGAGGGACAAGGACGAUGCCUAAAACCACAGCCAGAAUUUACAGAAUUAAGCAAAUGGAUAAUCAGAUGAAUAACCAAACAGCGAACGGAUAAAACGGAUAAAACG
rnacentral:sRNA from 1 species